ensembl:lncRNA
GCAGGCAAAGCGCGUGCGAAGUGCAGGCAAAGCGCGUGUGAAAUGCAGGCAAAGCGCAGGCAAAGUGCACACUAAGGAUAAUCUAACUGCAGGCAAAGUGCAGGCAAAGUGCGUAUAAAGCAUGUGCAAACUGCACACAAAGUGCAGGCAAAGUGCAGGCAAAGUGUGUGUAAAGCAUGUGCAAAGUGCAGGCAAAGUGCAGGCAAAGUGCAGGCAAAGUGCAGGCAAAGUGUGUGUAAAGCGUGUGCAAACUGCACACAAAGCGCAGGCAAAGCGCACGCUAACUGCACAAAAAGCGCAGGCAAAGCGCAGGCAAAGCGCAGGCAAAGCGCACACUAAGGGUAUCCUAAAUGCAGGCAAAGUGCAGGCAAAGUGCAUGUAAAGCGUGUGCAAACUGCACAGGCAAAGCGCAGGCAAAGCGCAGGCAAAGCGCACACUAAGGGUAUCCUAAGUGCAGUCAAAGUGCAGGCAAAGCAUGUGCAAAGCAUGUGCAAAGUGCAGGCAAAGUGCGUGCAAAGCGCAGGCAAAGCACAGGCAAAGCGCAGGCAAAGCGCAGGCAAAGUGCGUGUAAAGCGUGUGCAAGCUGCACACAAAGUGCAGGCAAAGUGCGUGUGAAGUGCAGGCAAAGCACGUGUGAAGUGCAGGCAAAGUGCAGGCUAAAUGCACAAAAAGUGCGUGCAAAGCGCAGGCAAAGCGCAGGCAAAGCGUGUGUAAAGCGUGUGCAAACUGCACAAAAAGCGCAGGCAAAGCACAGGCAAAGUGCAGGCUAAAUGCAGGCAAAGUGCGUGCAAAGCGCAGGCAAAGUGCAGGCAAAGUGCGUGUAAAGCGCAGGCAAAGUGCAGGCAAAGUGCACACUAAGGAUAUCCUAAGUGCAGGCAAAGCGCGUGCAAAGCGCAGGCUAAAUGCACAAAAAGCGCGUGCAAAGUGCAGGCAAAGGGUAUCCUAAGUGCAGGCAAAGUGCAGGCAAAGCGCAGGCAAAAAGUCUGCUAAGUGCAUGCAAAGGGUAUCCUAAGUGCAGGCAAAGUGCAGGGAAAGUGCAGGCAAAAGGUAUCCUAAGUGCAGGCAAAGCGCAGGCAAAGCGCAGGCAAAGCGCAGGCAAAGCGCAGGCAAAGGGUCUCCUAAGUGCAGGCAAAGCACAGGCAAAAGGGGAUCCUAAGUGCAGGCAAAGUGCAGGCAAAGCACAGGCAAAGCGCAGGCAAAAGGGGAUCCUACCUGCAAGCAAGGCGCAGGCAAAGUGCAGGCAAAGUGCAGGCAAAGCGCGUGUAAAGUGCACGCAAAGCGCACGCUAAGUGCAGGCAAAGGGUCUCCUAAGCGCAGGCAAAGUACAGGCAAAGCGCAGGCAACCUUGCACGCCAGCUCUGCAAGCCGCACACCUAAACGCACGCUGACCACACGCUAAGCGCAGCUUAAUUACGUACUAAUUACACGCUAAUUACCUUCUAAUUACUCCCUAGCUGCACACUAACUACAUGCUAAGCACACGUUAAUUACACGCUAAGAACACACUGCUUAAGCCUUAAUUAAGCAUUAUGUCCUAAUUAGAGACUCACUGCAGACCGACUACAUGGCAACUAGCUGUCCAUUACACACUAAUUACAUGCUAAUUGCGUGCUUGCUAUUUGCUGAUUGCACAGUAAUUAUAUGCUAAUUACAUGGUAAUUACUAGCCUUAUGUGCGCUUAUUACAUUGUAAUUACACCACAGGGGCACACACACCACAGGGUAAUUACAUGUUAACUACACAUGGGCAAAAUGGUAAUUACAGGUUAAUUAACAGAUAAUUAUACAGCAAGUACAGGUUAAUUACAGGUUAAUUAGAGGGGGCCAGGGCUACUCACCGACGGCGUCAGCGCCGGCGAGCUUCAGGAAGCGGCACUCGGCCACGGUCUCGUAGCUGGGGCCGCCGACGCCGCAGUAGACGCCUUCGCGGGCCCGAAGCUCCGGGGCCACCUGGGCCGCGAGUUCCAACGCCAGCGAGCGGAGCCGGGAAUCGUAGGCGCCGGACAUG